rnacentral:lncRNA from 1 species
UUAAGGUUCACACACAACCACUUUCUUACUCAACUAUUUUUGUAUCAAUAUACUUUGUGCAUGUAUAGUUUUUUAUACAGAAUAGGGAGGCGUAUGCUUGCUACUGCACCACGAAGCGCCACUGCACGAGACAGCGAUCCCAAACUUGUCUCCAUCAGGAGGUCUUCACAGCGCCGAGCGCCCUGCCCCCUCGUCUCCUUCUCCCCCACCGAAGUGUCGCUGGGAACUUGAGCUUUUCGAUCUCUCUGCUGCUGCCAGUGCCAUCCAUGGAGGCUCCCCAGGGUACGUCAUGUACGUUUUCUCUCGCUCUCUUCCAUUCAUAUGGUGAUGAACAAAUGGGGACAGGAUCUGUCGUAGUUUAGCUUUCGAUUACCAAUUUGCGCUUGUGAGCUCGACCCCGGGUCCGGGAGAGUAAAACUAUGUUCUUGAUCCGAUCCGUUGGGGAAUUAGGAGGUUCUUUUAGGAUCGAUAGAGGUCAAGACUUGAGCUCUGUCCUAGUGUUCUUCCGAGUUGGACCUGGACGAACUGCAGCUUAAUAGAACUUGGAACAGAUGUUCAGACUAGUCCUGACUGUUGGAAUAUGAUCUCUGAUUAAUCACAAAGUAUUAAUUAAAUUUAAUCCGAGAUUAAUUAGAGAUAAAUCAUGGGAUAAUGACCAUCUAAAAUAUCUCGGUUUGUUGCUAUAGUCGGCUGCAACCCUAACUUCUUGGAGAAGGUAUGACCCUACCCAUAAAUAUUAGAGGGACUCCUAAUCGCGAUUAACGAGUUAACGACGUGAUUAGCCACCCAAACCGGAUCUGUUCUUCCACAAGAACAGAUCGUACCCACGUUCAGGCCACGGAUCAUCAGAUUAAGUAGUUCUUAAUCUGGUGAUCAAAUCUUCACUGCUACUUCUACAUCAGCAUCUACAUCAACUUCAGAGGCAAAUCAUGGAGGUUCAAGGCCCUGGUUAGUCUAAUCUAAAUAUUCCGCAUUAAUUAUGAUUAGUGAUCAUGUUUAGGUUAAGAUUACCAUAGAAAACUUCAACAUUGUCAUAUUGGUGUCCCCAUACAAACAGCAAGUUUUUCAGAAUCUACGACACAUCAUGCUUUUGAUCAGUACCUAUUUUUUUGACUGACAGAAACCAUGGAGGAAGUUAAUAGAAUGUUUUGAUAUUGGAGAUCUGCUUUUUUUGUGAUAACAGUAAUAGCAGUAUUUGUGUAGCAGAAUUCUGGAGAUUUUCUUGUUCAGGCCUGAGUUUCUUGCAAUCGGUUUUUGGUCACCAGUAGUUGUGUUUCAUGUUCCAAUUUAACAGAAUAAUUUGAUCGCCAGUAGUCCACUGUAGGAAAAUGCAGGUGCUUAUGCGCCUAUCAGGUUCUGAAAUUCAAUGUAUCAGAAGCUACAUGAGGUUUAGAGUAUAUAUAAAAAUAGUGCAUUAUAGGAUUGAGUGAAUUUCAAAGCCACUUAUGUAGUUAAAUGAUCCACAAAGAAAUUGAGGAAGCAGCAUAACAGUACUUUAUUAAGAUAAAGUACUGGAUAUGCAAAACAGUACUUUAUUAGGCAAAAGUAUGGUUUUCAUUAGCCAAUAAUAAUUAUACCAGGCAUAGACGCAUCCUGUAGAUUAGGAUGAGAUGAUGUAGCUGUAGCAUAACUGCAUGUUCAGUAGCUACAGGUGCAGGCUUCAGAUUCUAUAGUGGCAAAGUUGAAAUAGUUUCAAGCAUAGAUCCAUUUGUAAUAGUGCACCAGGGCCAUUUUAUUUUAGGUCUAGUAGCAGUUCUCUCUCACACAAUAGAUCCUUGAUGUUCAUAUCAUAAUUGUUAAAUAGGCAAAACAAUGCAAUUAUUAGGCAAUAAUAUGCUACUGAAUUAGGCAAAACAAUAUACUUUACUAGGCAAUAAUAUUGUUCUAGAUUACGAAAAAUCAUGUACUUCAUUAGGCAGUUAAAUAAUAUACGAAAUAAUGUCACUAAUUCAUUUUUUGUUUUCUUUUUCUGUGGAGUUGCAUAUUUACAUCAAUUAGCCUUUGAUAUGUCUUUUGAUUUCUGGUGAUAAUGCUUUUCCGGAGAUGCUGCUCUUUAUAUGAUAAACGGCUUGUGUAGCAGAAUAGAAAUUUUCCUGUUUGGGUCUGUCAUUUUGCUGGAUACAAUGAAAUAGGCGACUUCCAGUUUUUAGGAUUUAAUUGGUACAGCUACAAUAUUGCUAACAGGCUGUGUGACCAAUUUGAGUUAUUAGUGCAACACUGAAUUUGAGUUAUUUAGUUAGAGAAGGUAUUAAUGUCAGCUCUUGUUACUAUAUGUUUUUGUUGCAGCCAUGAUUGCGGUUUUCAUAUGCUUAUGCAUGCCGAGCACUGGGAUGGGCGUACAAUAUAUAACUUUCAGGAGAAAGAUAUGCCUAACAUCCGGAAGUUGCUAACAUAUAAAUGGUUCACUCACUCUGAGAACGACACUGACUGGAAGAGGAAAUUAAGCUUGGCAUAGGUACGCCCCACACCCACAUGUAAGCAACUUAAACAACCUCUUUUAUUGCAUAAAUAACAUUAGCAAACCAUCAAAUUAGCUGUCUGCAAAAAGCAACUAACUGAAAGUUACAGAAAUACAUGUAUUUUGUAAGCAUGUUAACAAGCUUGAUCAUAUAAGCUUUUUAAUCUACUAUAUGCAUAUAGCAGUAUGCUCACUGAAAGCAUGUUAACAAGCUCCAGAAAAUUUAAAUAACCAAUUUUAAAAUAGCAAAUAUAUGCUGACAUUGUUCCUAAAGACCUUUUUAUCUUCAUGUUUUUUCGAAAAAUAAAAAUGCUAAACUUAACAGCAACAUCCUGGAACCCCUCUCCUCUUUGUUCUUCACUCACAUCACAGCGACAAAAUCUAUUGAACAGCCUCAACCACUAAGUCAAGCCCCUCUCCGGCUCUCCCUCUGCUUUCUUUGGGCACCUUGCAGCGUUGUGGUCUGUUGACCUGCAAAGCCUGCACUUGUUCUUCCUCUUAGGUUCUACAUUCAUUCCUUUUUUUAGCCUUCUCUCCUUCUUGCGCCCCUUUACCUUGGAUCUCGGCGGGUUCCCUACAGGUACUGCCAUGUUACCUGAAACAAAGUUUCGGAUUUUGUUCAAAGUUACAAAAGGAGGGGAAUUUAGAGGGCUGCCUUUUAUUCUAAAUCAUUUUGUUACCUGUGGUAGGUGCACUGGUAGUAGACAAUAACAUUGCAGAAGACCCUGCAGCACCAUCAGUAGCUGAGACAACAGCAGGGACAGAUGCUGCAAUGUUGGUUCUGUGUUGCCUGCUGUUCUUCUUUCUUCUCUUAGUUUCAUCAACUUCAGAGCGCAUCGCAGCUAUGUGAUUCUGCAUAAGAGUAUACCUUUCUUUUGAAACACAAUCCUCAGCUGCCAACUCCGCAAACGCUGUAGACAGGUUGGUGAACCACAACGUUUUCUUGCUGGUCAACGGCAUACCACGGGCAAUAAAAUCAGGCUGCGCACUCGCCCCUCCAAAUGAUUUCUCAGUGUUUUCAACUGCUUUUUGUGUCCACCUUUUCAGUAUGUAGCGAUCAGGAAUUUGCUUCACACCUAAUAUUGUCAAUACCUUCAUAACAUGGCAACAUAGCAUCCCAUCCCUGUCAAACUUGCUGCAUUCGUAGUAGAAAUUCUCCUCCUCCUCAAUUGCUGUCCCUAAGUAUGAUCUCUUGCCAUAUCCGUACACACGAAAGUUGUUAGGCACCAGCAAAUAAUGCAACGAACCUUCAGGGUUCACAUCGUACUCUGCAGUUUUUUCAAACUCCUUGGAAAACCUGUAGAAUAGGUUUUUGGUGUAGCCAGCACGUGCAUGUCUCUCAAUAGGGUAUUUUGACCAUCUUCUUCUUUCCCUGUCAUCAGUCCUAAAGUCCUGCCCAUCUUGAGCAACCAGGCACUUCUUCUGGAUCUUUUGGUAUUGCCUAACGAAAUUCAGAAUCGACAUGUUAGGGUUAACAUACUUUUUCAACACCGCAUUGAACCCCUCACUGCGUUGGGUUGAUUGCAAGAACGGGCAGAAGCAAUGCAUAAAGUAUGCUGGCACAAAGCUGCUUCUGAUCGCAUAGAGGCGCUGAAAAUGCUCAUUCUCAUGCAAGCCAUAUUUGCUUAUCAUAGCUGCCCAUUCCGCUUCAAAUUCAGCAGGAGUCACCGUGUGGUUGACACACUCCUUGAAAUCAUCUUCCAAUUUCUCAUCCUUCUCAAGGACCGGACCUAUUGUACCUGAAAAAUUGUCCAUUAUGUGCCAACGGCAAUUACGGUGAUUUGUAUUGGGCAUUGCUUGAGCAAUCGCACUUCUCAUAGCUCCAUCUUGAUCUGUGAUAAUGUUCAGAGGGGCCUUGCCUUUCAUUGCCUCCAGGAAUGUUUCAAACAGCCAUACGUAGCUAGGUGUCUUUUCAUCCCUGAUGAAGGCACAACCCAACUGGAAUGUCUGCCCAUGACCAUUGAUCCCAAUGAAUGGAGUAAAAGGCAUACCAUACAUAUUUGUCAUGUAAGUUGCAUCAAAGGAAACACAAUCAUGGUAUGAUUCGAUGUAAGCCCUCCUUGCAUCACUGUCAACCCAAAACAGGUUCUAAACCCUAUUAUCUUUAUCCAGUUUAACCUUGUAAUAGAAGUCAGGAUCCUCCUCCUGAAGCUGCACGAAGUAGUCCAAAGUUUCCUGCAUGUCCCUGAACUUGAGAUUUCUGGUGUCAACCGAGAGCGAGAGAGAGGUAGGAGUACCUUCACCCCUAGGGGUGGUAGCAGCAGAGCUGUUGGCCAUCUCGUGUUCGCGUGAGGGAGUCUGCGCAAGGCAGCGACGCGCAGUGCCGUGUUGAGUCGCCGGCGUGGCGGCGGUGGUGCUUCCCGUCGCUACUGCGCAAGACCUAGAUCGGUAGGUGUGUCGGUGGGACGGCCGAUAGCGGCGAACCUCGUGAACCGAGCCGUGGUCCCCACCUUGUUUAUAUAGCGCAGCGCGACAGGGGCCCACCACCCAAUGUUAGGGUGGGUGCCUCGAUCAGGACGCGGAUCAGGGUCCCAAUGGGCUUGGGGCCUUUGGGCCCAUUGGGGAGGACAUCAAUCUAACAUUCUCCCCCUUGAUCUCAUCAUUUACUUUUAACUUUACACUUUUUGCUUUUAUUCGUUUCAUCAUAGAUUAAUCUGUAGAGCAUGCCUCAUUGUCACAGCUUAAUCGCCGAUAGAAUAAACAGCUACAACACACCUUUCUAUUUUGAAACAAUUCUGUUUCUUUUUGGCCCUUUAUAAUCCAGGAAUCAUGGGCUUUCCCUUAAACUCAUGCCGGCUAAGUGUUCUCUGAACACAUUGGGUGGUAAGCCUUUCGUAAGCGGAUCCGCAAGUAUAUCCUUUGUUCUUAUAUGCUCGAGACUUAUAGUGCGAUCCUGGAUUUUGUCUUUCACAACAUAAAACUUUAUCUCAAUGGUUUUGGAAGCAUUGCUUGAUUUGUUGUUGUGAGCAUAGAAUACUGCUGGCUCAUUGUCGCGGUACAUCUUUAAUGGUCUACGAAUACAAUCGACCACUCUCAAUUCGGGUAUAAAUUUCUUUAACCACAUCGCCUGCCCCGUGGCCUCAUGACAUGCAAUAAACUCUGCAUGCAUCAUGGAUGACGUAGUUACUUUCUGUUUGGAGCUUCUCCACGAAAUAGCUCCUCCUGCGAGAGUGAACACGUAACCAGACGUGGAUUUUCUAUCAUCUUUGUCUCUCGCAAAGUCUGCAUCUGAAUACCCUUUUAUCUCUAGGGAAUCAGAUCUCUUAUAUGUAAGCAUGAGGUCUUUUGUGCCUCGCGUAUAACGCAAUGCUUUCUUCACUAUCUUCCAGUGUUCUACACCUGGAUUACUUUGAUAUCUUCCAAGUACCCCGGUGACAAAAGCUAAGUCAGGACGAGUGCAUACUUGAGCAUACUGUAGGCUUCCGACAGCUGAAGCAUAUGGAACCGCUUUCAUUUGAUCGAUCUCGUAUUGGUUCCUGGGACAUUGAAAAUUCUCAAAAUUGUCGCCCUUGACUAUGGGAGCAUGUGUGGCUUUACUCGCAUGCAUAUUAUACUUCUUUAGAAUCUUUUCUAAAUAUGCCCUUUGCGAUAAUCCAAGAACCCCAUUCUUUCUAUCUCGGUGAAUUUCUAUACCCAAAACAUAUGAUGCUUCACCGAGAUCCUUCAUAUCGAAGUUUGAGGACAAAAACUUCUUUGUCUCUAGUAGUAGACUGAUAUCACUGCUCGCAAGUAAGAUAUCAUCCACAUACAGAAUUAGAAAAAUGUAUUUCCCAUUUUUGAACUUUACAUAGAUGCAAUUGUCCUCUAUGUUCUCUUGAAACCCAAAUUUCUUAAUUAUAUCAUUAAACUUUAGAUACCACUGUCUAGAGGCUUGCUUUAAUCCAUAAAUGGAUUUCUUUAGACGACAUCCCAUAUUCUCUUUGCCUUCCAUUAUAAAACCCUUGGGUUGUUUCAUGUAGACUUUUUCUUCUAAAUUCCCAUUUAGAAAUGCCAUCUUUACAUCCAUCUGAUGUAACUCUAAGUCAAAGUGUGCAACCAAUGCCAUUAUAAUUCUGAAGGAGUCUUUACAUGAGACAGGAGAAAAGGUCUCAUUGUAAUCUAUUCCUUCUCUUUGUGUAAAGCCUUUUGCCACAAGUCUCGCUUUAUACCUUUCUAUAUUCCCUUUGGAGUCACGUUUAGUCUUGUAGACCCAUUUGCAGCCUACUGUUUUGGCUCCUUUAGGAAUUUCUUUAAGUUUCCAAACUUGAUUGGAACUCAUCGAUUUCAUUUCAUCUUCCAUGACCUCUAGCCACUUUGAUGAGUGAAUGCUUUUCAUGGCUUCUUCAUAUGAAGUGGGAUCACCUUCCAUAUGGACUUCUUCUGUAUUAUAAACUUUAUAGUCAUCAGAAAUAGCUGAUCUUCUGACUCUUUGAGACCUUCUAGGCCCCUCACUUACGGGCACAUUUUGUGCCUCUGCUUGUGGCACAUCAUCCAGAGGUGGCUGCUGCAACUUUUCCUCAUGUGUAAUAAUGGGUUCAAUUGGCUCCUGAAGGACAGGUUCCAAAUUAUCACUCAUCAUUUCCAUGGGUGGAAUCACAGCAGAUGCUUGCACCACGACCUCAGGAACUGUAGCGGGUGCUUGCACCACGACCUCAGGAACUGUGGGUGCGGGAACAACAGGUAGUGAGAAGAAUGGUUCCUGAAUCAUCGAAUUGGGUGCACACACCCGCUUCUCCUCAAGGUCAAUCUCUCGAGCCACCAUGCUCCUCAUCACCAUUUCAUCCUCUAAGAAAAUGGCGUGUCUCGUUUCUACAAACUUUAUAUAUCUGUCUGGACAGUAGAAACGAAAACCUUUUGAUUUUUUCGGAUAGCCAAUGAAAUGGCAGCUUACUGUUUUGGGAUCUAGCUUCCCAAUAUUUGGGUUAAAUACUUUGGCCUCAGCUGGACUACCCCAUACACGCAGGUGGUUUAGUGAGGGUGCUCUUCCUGUCCAUAGUUCAUACGGUAUUUUUGGCACCGACUUACUUGGCACUCUAUUUAGAAUAUGAAUGGCGGUUUUCAACGCUUCCAUCCACAGUCCUUUCGUUGUCAAGAUUAGCGGAUCAAGACUUAGACUAGUAAAUUUCUUUUAUGCGCGUAAAGCCUCAGGUGGUGGCGUGGGAGACACGGGUUAGACUGGUUCGGGCAAGGGAAGCCCUACGUCCAGUAUCGUGGAUGCUCGUAUUGCCCACGCGGGGUUCUGUAGUAGGGGUUACAGAUCGACAAGAGAGGGACUGGUCCCAAGUCUCUUUGUGCUUGAGCUCUCAGGGAGCGUACUAGUGUGCUAUGGCUUGUGGGAGAAGAAGCCGAUCGAUCCCCUCCUCCGGCCCUGAGUUCCCCCUUUUAUACCGCAAGGGGGAGGCCGGAGUUACAGCUGGGAUCGGGUGAAGAGGACCGUAAAGUGUAAACGUGGUACGGUAAAAAUACGGCAGGAAGGGAGGAACAAGUUCCUAGACGCCCGACGCCUCCGCCGGCCCCUGACGAGCGCCGACGUGCAUGCCUGAGGGGGAGGCGGCCGUGUGCCAGCUGUCGUCCCACCCUACAGAUAGCUCCUUCGGCAUUCGUAGGCGUCGGGUGAUGAUGAAGACGCUUUGUCGUUAUCCUGGUGUCCGUUGGGGAGGACGGUGGAUGCUACCGUUCUGAUGAUGGCUCCUGGAGAGAGGGCGUCACAUCCUUGCUGCCGGAUGCGUGGGACCCGAGGGCGCGCGGGGCCCGAAGUCAGGCGAGUCUCUCCUCCGCUCCGGUCGGCGCAGGCCAUGAGUACCCUGCGGCGAAUGAGAGUGAGCCGCCAGCACUGUAGCUUGUACAGUGUGGUCGCGUAUGGGUACUUGUGGCGGGUUGCGUGAGGAGCGUGGUCAGCCUUCCCUCUGCCAGGCCUGCGGCGCAUUUAUGGUGAGGCCGACGGGGGGGACCCACAGGAUUUGUUUAUCUUGCCCACCUGGUCCGCAUCCGAGGGGGAUGCCUGCCCAGGGGGCCCUAGCGAGCCCGACCCCCGUGCUUGGGGUCGGACGAGGCGGAACCUUGUGGCGAGGGGUCGGGCGCCUCCGACCCCGGGGCCGUAGUCGGACGAGGCGGAAGCCUCGUGGGGGGAGGUCGGGCGUUCCCGACCCUGAGGCCGCGGUCAGGCGAGGCGGAGCUUUGAUUCUGCUUAGGUGGGCCCGGGGCCUUCGCGUUUCCCCUUUUGAGCGGUAUUUAGGGGAUCGUUAAUAUUUCCCCCCAACAAGUCCCAAUGGUAAGGUGGAAUAACUCAUCAUGCUGCGCACCAUAUCCAUCAGUGUACGGUUACACCUUUCAGCUACUCCAUUUUGCUGAGGCUUGCCCGGCAUCGAAUACUGGGCUACUAUUCCAUUUUCCUGCAAGAACCUUGCAAAAGGUCCAAGAACUUGGCCAAAUGGGGUAUGUCGACCAUAGUACUCCCCCAUGGUCGGAUCUUACUAUUUUAAUUCUUUUGUUAUGCUGAUUUUUAACUUCAGCUUUAAAUAUCUUAAAUUUAUCCAGCGCUUCUGAUCUUUCUUUAAUUGGAUUAAUAUAACCAUAACGAGAGUAAUCGUCUGUGAAUGUUAUGAAUGAGUCAUAGGCAUCCACACUUUUCACAGGAAAUGGUCCACAAAUGUCAGUGUGGAUUAUCUCUAAAACUCCUGUGCUAUGUUUAGCGCCUUUUUUAAUUUGCUUUACAUACUUUCCUUUAAUGCAAUCUAUGUAUUGUUCUAAGUCUAAGAACUUUAAUUGAGGAAGAAUUUUAUUCUUAACUAGUCUUUCUAUUCUCCCCCUCGAAAUAUGGCCUAAACGAUAGUGCCAUAAUUUCGAUGAUGUUUCAUGAGUUCUCUUUCUUUUCUUUGUUUCUUGCUCUGACGAGGAUAUAUUCAUAUUCACAUCACACACAGAAUUUACUUUUUCACGCAGCCAUAAUAAAUACAACUCAUUGUGAAGGAUGGCAACACCAACACAUGCAUUAUCAAACCAAAUGGCACACUUGCCAUUUUCAAAAUGAUAUUCAUAUCCAUCAUGGUCCAUACGUGAAAUGCUAAUCAAGUUUCAGUGUAAUGAAGGAACAUAAAGAACAUCUCUAAGUACAAGCGUGAAACCAUCAACUAGCUCUAGAGAGACAUCGCCAACAGCUUCAACAUCUGCUUGGACUCCAUUUGCGACUUCAACGCAUCUUUCGCUUCUUUGCGUAGUCCUCGUCGAACGGAAUCCCUGUAAAGAAUUUGCAACAUGAACAGUUGCACCUGAAUCAAUCCACCAAGUAGAUUUCGAAUACUGUGUAUACAAGGAUUCAUUUACAAAGGAGAUAAUAUUCUCACCUCUUUUUGCCAUUAUCGACUUCAACCAAUCGAGGCAUUCUUUCUUGUAAUGUCCCCUUUUCUUGCAGUGGAGACACUGAUCUUUGUCUACUGCGAGAGGCUUUUGGUGAUGUUGUUGCUGCAUGGGAGCCUUUCCACGUGCCUUGAAAGAAGAGUUAGCAUUAUUUUUCUUGUUGUCCUUCACAUAGUGCAAUGAACCACCAUGUGAGGAUCUGAUUCUAUUCUCUUCCUGCACGCACAUGGCUAUCAUCUUUUCCAUGUCUCACUGUUCUGGCUGCAUGUUGUAGUUGACAACAAAGGUGUCAAACUCUUUUGGCAGGCAAGCGAAAACCAAAUGAAUAAUGUGCCCAGGCUUGAGCUCAAGAUCCAUUGGCUUCAACUGUGAUGCCAAGUUGUACAUCCUCAGGAUGUGCUCUCUUAUGCCAGUUCCUCCUCCAGUGUACCUUUCUGUGGCCAGCUGCUUGAACAGCUGGAUAGCAUAUAUCUUUGAGGAACCGGUGAACUGAUUCCUUAUCUUUUCUAGGUACUCUGCGACGGAGUCACACUCUGUGAUCGAGUCUAAAAUUGCAGGCUCAAUCGUGUUCUUUACCAAAGCCAUACAUUUCUUGUUGGCAGUGGUUCACUGUUUGUUUUCAAGGGUAUAUACCAACUCUAGAGGAGCAUCAUCAUCACCUUCAGCCCUCACUGGCUUCUCUGGAGCUGUUGGUCGUGGUGUAGUCACCACCCAGUCAACUUCUCCACAAACGAAGGAGAAAUCAAUCUUCUUCCUCCACUCUACAUGUUUGUCUCCUCUCAGAGUAGGUAUCUCUUUGAGACAAGCCAUUAAGUUGAUCCUCCUGAAAUUUGCAAUUCAAGGUGAGAUCAUAACAACAAUUGCAUGAUUUAUUUCCAACGUUGGUCAAAAAAUAAAACAUACAACUGUUUAUGCAAUUUAAAUCUAUAUCACCGUUGGGCAGAAAUAGAAAUAAAAGCAUGGAAACUUUUUAAAUCAUGAUACAGUUAUUAACAACAUUGGUCAGAAAAUAACAGCAUCAUAAUCUAAUUUUUUAAGAAAAAAUUAACUUUAUCAUGCUCUCAAAAAUUUAAUUAUCUCGUUGAUUCAAAUUAGAUUUAAAAAGAGCAAGAAAUUAAACUUUUGCAGCGGAAACUGUGAAAUAAAUCUAUUUUCAGAAGCAAAAACACUGUAUAAACUUUAAUCUCUAAUACAAAUUAUCCCGUUGGUUCAAAUUUGAAUGGAGAUCAAAACUAUGCAAAACAUCACCAAAGAAAUACCCCUGAAAAUAGAAAAUAAAAUUGUCAAGCGUUACUGUGCAAAACUCUCUUUUCGGUCCAGCAGCGAAAACGGCCCACAGUCCGUUCCCACACUCAGCCUGCUCGCGCGACGCGGCCGGCCCGCUAAGGCGGCCCAUGAAAACAGCUGACCCAUAGCUUGGCCUGCUCGCACUCCGGCCCGCGGCAUCUCCCCAUGCCACAACGUGGGCCUGGGCCGGGAAAGCUCGGUCCCGCCUGGGCCGUUUUUGGUCCGGUUGAUCAUGGCUGUUCAUCGCGAUGGACGGUCCUCCAGGCGUGUCGUCGGAUCAAAACUCCCGAUGUGUGCCCUAGCCAAAACCCUAGCCCCCAUUCUUCUUUCCCCCCGCGUCCUUGCGCCGCAGCCGUGGCGGCGAGGUCGUCUCUCCCGCGCCCGGCGAGGCUCGCCGAUGGCGGUUGAGGGAUGGCUCCGCCGGCGCAUGGCCGCGGCACCUCCCCCCUCUCUUCUUUCUGUCCCCCCUUUCUCCCUCCGAGCCUCCCGAACUUCGAGAUCCAGAGGGCCAUGGCGACCACGGAGGAGGGCCGGCGCCAUCGCGGGUCCCCUCGCCAGCGCGCGCGUCCACUGGAGGUUGGGCGCGCGCGUCCACUGGAGGUUGGGCGCGCCGCCGUCGAGCGGUCCUGUGGUGGUGCUAUUGCGCCCCCCGAGCCCCGAGUGGGCGCUCUGGCGGCUCGGGUGGAGCUUUUCCCCGGCGAGCCCGUGGCUCGGCCGGUCUUUGCCGCUCACCGUCGGUGGACGUUCAGCGGUGAGGACGGCGGCAGGUAAGCCGCUACACUUCUAUUCUUUAGAUCUAGGGUUAGGGUUAGUUUUUUUCUUUUCUUUUCUAUUUCUUUUUCGAUCUUUUUCUUUUUCCCGAUCUAAAAAAGCUUCUAGUGUGGCGACUGAUACCAUUGUUAGAUACAUGCCUAGGAUCUUUAGAUGCAUAUCUAGUCGGGAUCACGAUUAACAUAGAGUUCUUGAGAUUUCUGGUGUCAACCGAGAGCGAGAGAGAGAGGUAGGAGUACCUCCACCCCUAGAGGUGGUAGCAGCGGAGCUGCUGGCCAUCUCGCGUUCGCGUGAGGGAGUCUGCGCAAGGCAGCGACGCGCAGUGCCAUUUUGAGUCGCCAGCGUGGCGGCGGUGGUGCUUCUCGUCGCUACUGCGCAAGACCUAGAUCGAUAGGUGUGUCGAUGGGGCGGUCGGCAACGGCGAACCUCGUGAGCCGAGCCAUGGUCCCCACCCUGUUUAUAUAGCGCAGCGCCAUAGGGGGCCACCACCCAAUGUUAGAGUGGGCGCCCCUGAUCAGGGCGCGGAUCAGGAUCCCAAUGGGCCUUUGGGGAGGAGAUCAAUCUAACAGACUCCCUCGCUUCCUCAUUACUUGCAAAUGAUUGCCCAGUGUACGGAAUAGGCGGUGUAUACCGAACCUCCUCAACUAUAUCAUCAUGAACAGUAGCAUCAUUGGCAUCAAGGACAACAGUUUCAGCAACAGCAUGACCCUGAGCGCUACCACCAUAAAGGACAGCAACUUGAUUGUCAGCAUCAACAGGUUCGCCAUUUGCAAAAGCAACUGGUGUCACACCAACAUCACCCUGAGCAUGUUGCCUUCCAAGGUGCUCACUGCCACCCAAUCCAGCAGACUCUAAGAUGGGCUGAGUGCAAUAAGGUGGAUUUGGACUUUCAACAUCCAGGAAGUCAAAAUCAAAUUCUGGGGGUAACUUGUUCAAAUUCAUGCAUACAAAUCCUACAAACAAGGACCAGUUAUUAGGGAUACAACACUAAACAUCAAAUGCAUUUUUCACAAAAGUAAACUUGUAACACACAGAAAGCAAACAUGGACAUGUAUGAAAGCAUAACAACGCAUUAUUUUGUAAAUUUUUGAACUAAAUGCUGCUAUCUAAUAUUUUUCAUUCUUUUUUUGGUUCAGCAACAGAAAGGCGCCAUGCAGUACAGUAAAUAACUAGAGAACUAAAACCAGUUCAUUAUGUGUAGUCAUGAAGCUAGUACAGGAUGUUGGAGCCAGACAACUUUUUGCGAAGCAGGAAUCAGAUCAAAGCGAUGGGGAACAUCCAGUUUCUUUUUCUCCAGGCAAAUCUGUGAGUGACCUUUUUCCAGCAUGUUCAUGGAUCUGUGUAUCCCCCAAUCCCAAAAAACACCGUGGGAGAUCUGUGUACAUACCUGGGAUGAAGCUAUUAGGCCCCUGUUUUGCUUUUCUGUAUUCGUUAAUCCUGAUCUUUUUGUCAUCCUGAUCGUUUUUGUCGUCGCCGCCGCCGUCUUUGCUCGGCUGCCGGCGUCUAGAUUCUGCCAUCGUUUUUUUUUUUUUUUUUU